rnacentral:rRNA from 1 species
UACGUAGGGGGCAAGCGUUGUUCGGAAUUACUGGGCGUAAAGGGCGCGUAGGCGGCAUGGCAAGUCAGGAGUGAAAGGCCUGGGCUCAACCGAGGAACUGCUUUUGAUACUGCCAAGCUAGAGUGCGGAAGGGGCAACUGGAAUUCCCAGUGUAGCGGUGAAAUGCGUAGAUAUUGGGAAGAACACCUGAGGCGAAGGCGGGUUGCUGGGCCGACACUGACGCUGAGGCGCGAAAGCCAGGGGGGCAAACGGGG